UUAGGUCAUCAGUUACACCUGUGCAAUGUACAGUCUUAAAUUCCAACUCAGUUACACCUGUGCCACUCCUUUGUUUUCAGUGGGGUUGCACAGGUUGCAAAUGAAAAUAGCAUUUAGCUUUGGUAGUUAAUUAAAGUUUUGUUGUUGAUGAGCAAAAAGGAACACUAGAAAUGGCAGGUGAAUUGGUUUAGAGAAUCAGAACAUGAAGCAGCGGCACCCAUGCUUCCAAACCCCUCAUCUGAGGAGAGAAGAAGUAAAGAAUACUGUUCUCAGGCAUCUGGACCCUACCAGUUGUGGAGGUAGAAGGUGGCUGGCAACAGACCAGGCCUUUUAUCAUAUUGAGGGCAGAGGAUCAUCCCACCAUGCUUUCCAAGAAUUGUAGUUUUCAAGUGUACAAAAUACUAAACUUCUUAUCAAAAUACUUAAUUAUAAAUUAAAGUAAACUAAUUUCCAUUUCUAAUAGGGCCUUUCAUUAUCAAUAACAGGCCUGAAGACAUGGACAUUAAUUCUACAAUUAUUCAGAAAUAAUUCUCUGUGGGAAACUGAUUCUAGGAUAUGGAGGGUCUAAGCAAGAAAAUUCUCACAUACAAAAUGUUCUCUCCUCUCUGUUCCCUUCAUGUCCCAUCAUUCUAAUAAUGAAAUGUUCACAGCAGUAAGGCCAUAUCUGGGUCAGAAAAGGAUAGGAUCAAUAGUUAUGUACAAUAAUGAGAGAGCAGAAGUAGCCAAGGAAUUUUGGAGCUACCACAUACUUGACUCUCCUGACAGAUGCUGAAUCCACAGGAUACCGACUUUGCAGCAUCUCAGACAUGUGUACAGAAAGUCAAGUUGCUGCCUUCCAUUUGUUUUCAUGCAAAGCAUUUGACAUUGCUGCUAAUGAUGUUUCAGAUUCCCCAGUUUAAUGAGCUGUGAUGAUGUUGUGUGGAGCUGCUACUUUUGCCUUGUCUGGGCUCAUGAUUCAAACAUUGAUCCAGACCGCUGUGGUAGUCUUAUAGACUUUCUUGCCCAGAUACAAGUUUUGAAUGGUCUCUCAAACACAGUGGGCUACUGGUUUGUAGGCCAGUGAAUAAGUCACUAACUUCAGAGUCCAGGGAUAUAUCUGUUGCAAAUGAUGCUUCAAAAGAAGAUAUUUUUCAUCAUUGCCUUCAUUUUUAUUAUUCUUUGGGGAGGGAGACUGUCAGUUUGUCCAAACCAUGACAGCUAUUUCAAACACAAUAAUGCAGUGGAGGCCAAAAGGAGCUGAUGCAAUUACCUCCUCAUCUGCCCAGAGACACAAUUAUCUUCCUAUCUGCAGGACCUCUAGAUAAGAACUCACCUUCCACUGGAAUUACUGUCUGAUUAGUGAGGUGCUGCUGCAUCCAAUUUUGGAAUCUCUUGUUCUUUGGUACAAUGGAAAAUCUCUGGAGCAGCUGGCUGGGUAUUAUGGACCUACUGGGAAGCUCCCAUUAUGACGCCUUCAUAUGCCAAAUGGAGGGUGGAUUCACACACCCCUUUUAGGCACUGAGAGAAUACUUCCCCAGCAUUGCUUUGUAAGAAUCAGCUCUCCUUUGUGCAUCUGGACUCUCCUCCCUGCUGCUGGAGAUCUUGGCAAGUAGACAAGCCAGCUUUCUGUGACAGGUGUAGAUGAGCUGAGCACACACUGCAUUUCCUGUCCUUGUUUCUCCCCUUGUCUCCUUCAUAGAUGUAUUUGGCCAGGAGCGAGAUUGGAAACAGGAGAAUGCCUUAGUAAAACAUCUUUUCCAAAGCUCCAAGGAAUAAAUUUGCUGUUUCUCUUUAAUGGAACUGAAGUCCCAACUGAAAUAAGGUAGUUAAAGUUAAAAUAAGAGGAGGGUUGACUGAAAAGCUUCAUGAUGGAAGUCUGUAGUCUGCUGUUCACACUCCUUAGGCAGAGUAAUCUGGGAAAGGCUGAGAAGGCAAAAUCUUAUGCCCUAGCCAAGGCAACAGGAGAGAGAGAGAGAGAGAGAGGAGAGAGCCUCAGCUGGUGUAACUUGUCAGUUACUUCAGUGGAGCCAUGACAGUUUUUACUAUCUGACGAUCUGCCAUGUGGUCUGCCACCAACAUAGAGGAGAAAACCUGUGGCUAAAAUUGUUGGCCAUGAAGAUGAUAGAGAAGAACACUGAAUUAGGGGGCACAGUUAAUUUCACAGAAGCACAUAAGGUAGAAAUGUAAAAGUACUAUUUAGAUCCACCAGUGCCUUUCCCUGACAAUGCAGGAUUGCACCUUACAGUAGCUACUCUUCUUAUGCUAGUUACCCUAUUGAAGAUGCAAAGAAUGGAUAGGCUGAAUGUUGCAUACAAGAAAUAAUUUAAAAAUACUGUACAAGAACUGUUGAUUGCUUCGUAAGUGUGAAUGGAAAUAAUUUAGAGCAAAAAGACAAUUUUGGAUUCAGACAAAAGAAAGGCAUAACAGUAAUGUGGGGUCUAUGCAAAUGGAUCUUUUGGAGGAAUGAAGGCUGGGAUGGAUCUCAGUCCUGAAGGAUACCUUGUCACUGUGAAAGAUGCUGAGUUGUGGCUCACUGACAAGGUCUUCAAUUCUGAAAUUCUUCAGAGGUGAUUCAAAGGAAGGGGAUAGUUACCAGACUUAAUCACCAGGACCAAAGCCUACACCUGUAGUCACACAAAGUGUAAACUUGGAAACUGCAGCACUGAGAUGUCAAGCUUCAGAUUGUACUUUCCAGGAAAUAGCAGCAACUGUGGCUGUGGCUGUCUCGUUGGCAGAUUUCUUGUACACCCUCUUAUCUAGUUCCAUUUCUGGUUUUGCUUGUCGCUAAAGAGCUGUUUGUAGGGGCUGGUUCAUGAUCAGCCUGCUGUCGGGCUGUUCUGGAUGCAAUUAUUCUUUGAUUUACCACUGAACAUGUGGACUUUGCUCUUUCUUCUGCAUUUUAAAAUUAGGCCUUUCUGAAGAUUUAGUCAUCUUUUUCAGAUGAAAUAAAAGAUGUUUUGUUAAAUUUGAUUUAAACAAAAUAUUCAUAAGGAAGCCAUCACACAUUAUAGAGGACAUCCCUUGCAAAAUGAGGUUUUGUUAAACAUAGAUGACACUUGAAGCCUCUCCUGAAAAAAACAAAAGGGACUCUGUCUGGGUAAACUGUUUAUUAAAAAAUAAAGGCCUGUUACUGCAUCUACUGAAGUCAAUGGCAAAGCUUCCAUUUUCUCCAAUGAAACAGGAUCAGACCCUAAAUGUUUAUAAACAUUAGCUUUUGAGAUGACACCUCAAUUUUGUACUGUAACUGAAGAACUUCAAAGCUAUCAAAAAAUUGUCUCAGAUACAUAAUACACAGAAAACCUCAUUUUGAAUUGUUCCAGAAUUUUUUAUACAGAACGUGUAAAAGAGCAGCUAUGAUACCUUAUGACACUUAAAAUACGUUAAUAUUAACCAUCUCUGCUUAAAGAAAAGGAGUACCGGUGGCACCUUAGAGACUAACAAAUUUAUUAGAGCAUAAGCUUUCGUGAGCUACAGCUCACUAAUG